AAAUUAAUCAAUGAAUAGUAAAAAAGAAAAAAAGAAAACUCCCAUUGGCCUCUCUCCUUCCAGGUUUCACUCUGCCCACCCCACUUCCUCCCACUGGAGUUUCCUAGGAUCUCUUCCCCAAAUAAACCACCCUCAGGAAAAGCUCUGCAUUGAGGAACCCGGCCAGGAGAGCUGUCCUGCUAGUCUCUUGUGAGGCUUGUGAAGGAACUCAAGGACCAUGACAACAGAGCUUGAGGACAGAGUUGGGGGUCCCACGGGAGCUCAUGGUGUGUUCAGGCAUUACAUGUGGCCCCUUUCUUUUGCUCUCUUUUUUCAAAAAGCAACUUUAUUGACAUAUAACACAUGCCAUGCAAUUCGAUUUUAAGUGUGCAAUUCAAAGCUGUGUGGUAUAUUCAUGGAGUUGGGCAACCAUCAUCUCAAUUAAUUUUAGAGCAUUUUCAUCACCCCAAAAAGAAACCUCGUGUCCUCCAGUUAUUAUUCCCCCAGCCCCACUGGCUCAUUUCUGUUGCUAUGGAUUUGCCUAGUCUAGACUCUUCAUGUAAGUGGAAUUUGUACAGUAAGAGGCGGUUUGUGCCUGGCGUUGUCUUCUUAACAUACUAUCUUCAAGGCAUGUCUGUGUUACAGCAGGUAUCACCACCUCAUUCCUAUUUACAGCCGAAUAAUCAUCCAUUGUUUAGAUACACCACAUUUUAUUCAUCCAUCAGUUAAUUAAUGGACAUUCCCAGUUGUCUCCAUCUUUGGAUUAUAAUGAAUAACACUGCUAUAAAUAUCUGUGUACAAGUUUUUGUGCAGAUGUAUGUUUUUAGUUCUCUUUGUUAUACACCCAGGAGUGAAAUUUUUGGGUUGCAGCUCUCCUCUUUUAAUAUUUAAUUUUAUUGUUAGAUGACAUAAGACAUUCCCCUUGCUGUGUCACAAUUUAUUUUUUGUUUUAUUUGAUUUUUAAUUGACACAUAACAAUUGUACAAUGUGGUGCUACUUAUGAACAUUAUGUAAUCAUCAACUCAGGGUAAUUAGCAUAUUCAUCACCUUGAACAUUUAUCAUUUCUUUGUGAUGAGACAGUCAAAAUCCUCUCUUCUAGCUAUUCUAAAAUAUGCAAUGCAUUAUUGUUGACUAUAGUCACCUCCUGUGCAAUAAAUACCAGUACUGAGUCUUCCUAACUGGAACUUAAUACCAAUUGACCAACCCCUUCCCAUCUUCCCUGCCCUAUUUCACAAUUUAAAAGACACAAAAAGAAAAUUCUUAUGCUCUCUUCAGUGACAAACAAUUUCCCACUUUAAAUGUAUUUUUGGAGACGUUUCUAGAAUAUAUAAGCAGUUAAGAAUGUGCUCCUUUUUUUUUUUUACACAAAUGGUGAUAUACUAUAUACACUGCUCAGUACCUUAAUUUUUUUCAUGUAAUGUGAAAUGUUAGAGAUUGCACCAUGUCAUUUCAAAAAGAACUCUUCAU
rnacentral:lncRNA from 1 species